UCAAUAACUAGGGCACCAUCAAGGACCUUAGCUUCCAUUGGUCCAGAGAAGUGGGCUCUCUCCACGUAGAGAAAUAGGAAGCCCUUCCUAAUCACUAUGCCCACAGUGGCCCUUUUGUUCCAUCAUGAAACCACCUGUGCUAUCCAGAGCCUUCCUUUGCUCCAGCAAAGAUGACAGAAAGCCUUCACUGUACACAGACGUCCAAUGUCAGCCCCAUCAUCUGCCACAUUCCAGUAUUAUCUAUUGUAUUCUGUGCAUCUCCAGCCAGAGAGGAGGACGAGCCAAGCUUUCCACAGUGUUUUUUCAUGUGCCUAAUCAUCCCAGGCAUGCCUCUGGUUUCCUCCCUGGCCCUGCAAGCUCAUAGUUUGUUUCCUUCUGUGGUGAAUGUGGGCACGUCUCGCAGCUCAGGGUGGAGAGCCAUGAAUCAUGAGCAAGAGGCACUAAGAACACUGUGUUUCUGCUGCUUCCCCCACAAGUCCCAGACAGCCUCGUGGGAUCCAACUCUGACCCCAGUGGAGUUCUUCAUCCAUGACUGGUGCCUUCAGGAAUGUGUCCGUGGGCAGCAAGAAGAGUUUCAAAUGCAAUAGAAUGGGGCCACUGACUUUUUUCCUUUCUUUCCCGGCUGGAUGGCAAGAGGACCCUGAAGGUUGGUGAACUGCACGAGUAGGUAGACACCGAGGCCCGAGGCCUGCUGCUGAGUCAUUUCAAUCCGUUUCAGAUUCGAUUUGCUCAGUGCAUGGAGGAGAACAAGGCUCCCAGUGGAGAUAUCAUAUAGCUAGAGCCUAGAAGUAUUUUCUUAAUAGAUGAAAUUUAGAAAGAAUUUGAAUCUUCUGUGCUGGGGAGGUAGGUCGCCGAGCGAAAUGGUUGGGAAAAGGAAACAUUUGGCUCCAGCGAUUCCAAAGGACAUUUCACUGAUCUAAAUAUUUGUCCAGCUGAAUUGCUAUGUCCACUGUCACCUGCCUGGAAUCAAUAUGUUCAAAUCAAACACAGUCAUCGGCAUCUGAGCGUGGAGAAAGAACUUCUUAAACCUGAGCUGGCAACUGGGAGGGUGAGAGAGGACUCAGACAAGGAGCUAGGACAGGGGAGCGCUUUGCCACCAAGUGGGGGACCUGCAACAACGGUCAAUCCCCUAGAGUUCGCAUCUGGAUCCCGUGAUUCAAUGACAAGCUUCCGAUCGUCGAGGUGCGGUGAAUAACUUUGAUAGUCAGGACAGCGUAUGCAUUUUUUGAGAAAGACUUUAUCUGUUGGAACAAACACUUGUUCUUUUUGCUUUAGCCUUGAACCUCUCAGGAUGCAGACAGACCACUGUGCUCGGAAGGCACAGACAAAGCUGAGCAUACUGUUCUCCUCACUUUUUAAGGAGUUUUCUUAAGAUGCCUGUGUCAAGGCCUUUUGAUUCUGAGUCAUAUGAGUGUUCUCCAAGGGGGUAAAAAAAAAAAGAGGACUUUUCGAUUUAACACUGUUUCUCACCAAAUGCAUGCAAGUUGGCACAACAGGUAGCCCAGAUGUUUACAGCCCCUGCAGCGGGUUCACAGAGGCACUAGAACCUUCCUAGGCCCUGCCUUACAUGCAGUGUGGAAUUAGGUGGUGAACCCAUGACAGUGCGGGAGAAUCAGGAAGGACCAGAGUCCCGCGGCUCCCAUCAUCGACAGAGGAGUCUGCACAUUUGUGUGGACAGCACUGUGCCCAGGGGCCGGUUCCUGCCACUCCUGUCACCACAGCUAUGCAGCCAAGGACACGUCGGAUCUUGUGACCCACCCUCUGUGGACUGAAGGAGAAGCGCUUCUGGGCCCUAUACAUGCUUUUUAUGUGCUUGUCCGGAAAGGAGAACGUAGCAAGACGCAGUGACCAUUUUUUGUCAUCGUUCUUAAUGUGGUAGAGUGAUUGCAAAAAUGUCCCCAACUCUUCACCCUGCCACGAAGCCACACCUCUGCAGCGUGACGUUGCAUUUCCUCCCGCCAGUAAGUGUCUCCCUGCGCUUGUAAAUCUGGACUGGUCUUGUGACUCACUUUGACCAACAGAAUGUAGGGUCAGUGAUGGUGUGCCAGUUCUAAGCCUCAGCCUCAAGAGGCAUUGAGCACUUGUGCCCUUUCUCUUGGACCCGUGAUUCACCUAUGAUUGUGCUCUUUCUCCUGGACCACGGGAGCAAGCUGCGCUGCUGGAUGAAAGAGACACUGCCCCGGUCCCCCUGUCACUCUCGCUGAGAGCCAAACAACUGCCAGACUUCUGAGUGAGGCCUUCCUAGACCAGGCAGCCCUUGGCCCAUCUGCCCGCUGACGGCAGAUCCGAGGAAGCCAAAUCAGGAUCAACCAAACCUGGCCCAAGUUAGCAGCACUGCCCGGCUGAGCCGUAGACCUGUGAGCAAAAGCAAAUGCCUGUCGUGGUUCCCUUCACCUUUCCUGCCCAGAAUGUCCAUUCAUUCAUUCGACAAAUUCACGUUGAUGCUUAAAUUGUACAAGGCACUGCUUCAGGCCCUAAGGACAUAAAAUGGUGCAAUGAGGAGCCUGUGGAGAAUUUAAAGCAAAGGAGGAACAGGAUCUGACCUACAUGAAUCUGAACCAUCAGGAAGGAUGGGCCAACAAGAGUAGAAGGAGGGAGAUCAUUUAGGAGGCUCUUGCGGUCACACAGGUAAGAGAUGUUGGAGGCCUGGAGCACCAUGGGGGCCACAGGGAUGGUGAGAGGUACACAGGCGCUGGGGAGGUCUCAAAGCAACGGUCAUCUACAUGUCUGCAGUUGGGCUGAAUGGAGGAGAAAAGCAAGGGGCCAAGGAGGAUUCCUAGGACUAGACUAGCCACAGAGGUGCCAUUUACUGAGACAGAGGACACAGGGGCAGGAGCAUAUUUAUGGGAGAAAAUCAAGAUUUCAGUGCUGGACAUUAAAAGUUUGAGAGGCCUCUUCAACAUCUAAGGGAAUAUGACUAUAAAGCAAUACAUAACAGAGUAUAUGAGUGUGGGUUUCCAAAAUGGACCAGGGCUUAAGAGUAGGGGUAUACAUUUGAGAGACAUGACUCUAACGAUGGUAUUUAAAGCCACAGAACUGGAUGAGAUUCCCCAAAGUAAGGAUGUGGAUGGAGAAGAAGAGGAGUCAAGGUGCAGAUCCCGAGGCAAAGCAACACUUAGGGGUCCAGCCGAGGAUUCUAAGGAAGAAAAGCCAGUAGAGAAAAACCAAGAGGGUGUGAAAUUACAAAAGCCAAGAGAGUGUUAAGCAAUGAGGGUAUGACUUACAACUGCUACAGUCACUGGGCUUACUUCACAAGAACACCAUUAUCAGGAAACCAGCAUUAUACCCAAUCACCCACCUGUCAACCCCAGGAGCCAUUUCAGCAUUCACUCCUCAGAUAUAUCAGUGUUAUGGGUCGCACUGUGUCAAUAAAAUAAGUUAUGUUGGAGUCCUCACCCUGGUAUCUCAGAAUGAGACCUGAUUUAGAGAUGGGGUCUUUACAGAGGUAAUCCAGUUACAAUGCGGCCAUCAAGGUGGGUCCUAAUUCAAUAUGGCUGGCGUCUUAUAAAAAGAGAACAACAGAGAUACACCCAACGCCCAGGGAGACCGCCAACGUGAAAACGAAGGUCGAGAUCAGGUUGAUGGAGCAGAAGACAAGGAACACCAAAGAUGGUCAGCCAACCACCAGAAGCCGGGAGACAGGCAAACACCGACUCUCGCUCGCGGCCUCAUGGCCUUCGGAAGGGCGCCAUGUCUCAAUUUUAGACCUCUCGUCAGAAUUCCGAGAAAAUAAAUUUCUGUUAAGCCACCCAGUUUGCGACACUUUGGCCAGGCAGCUUCAGCAAACAAUACAGGCCUUCAGCAUGCUGUCACAGCAGGGGUCUCCUCUCCGGGUGGGCAAAACACAAGCUAGGUUUCUGGGACAGUGUUAGCCACUGUGGGAUCCCUCCGUGGGCUUUGUGCUCAGGGUUUGGAAGUGGAACAGUGUCGCCAGCCCUUGUAAGAACACUUGCAACACAAUCACACGAGGUGAGUAGUGUGAAGGCUACAAGCUUUAGGGUAAAAAUGAAGCAAUAUGCUGGAGGGAAGCAAAUCGGAGGGAGCAUGUCUAUUCAAUACGGAAGAAGCGAGGAAACCUGCCAUAAAAGAAAGCAUCAUUGUUCAUGUGGCGUUCGGCCCCCAGAAGUAACCCCAGAUGGGGGGGAAGGUCCCCCUCCACUCUGCCUGCCCAAAUGAGAGAUGGCUUGUUUGGACAAUGUACACACUUCGAAAGCCUCCUCUUUCUCUCUGACUAUUUCUGUUCCCACAAGGCCCACAGUUUCUCUUUUUAUCCUAAAUUUAUAAAAUGCCAAAGAAAAUAUGACUUUUUAGAAGAUUCAAAAUCUGGAAAGUACCCUUAAGGUAUUGCAGUUAAGCUGUUUUUGAUGAUAAGGAGCAGAUACCCGCAAAUGCGUUCAACUCGGAUUGGGGGCCAGGGGAUUGAAGUCAGGAAGCCCCAUGAGGUAGUAAGAGAGACAUUCUGUUGAAACCAAGAUCUUCUGUAAUACAAAUAGAUCACACUUACACAGCAUGCCAGGCACCGUGAUACAUGCUUUACGUGUGUUAGCUGAUUUCUUCCUCACAAUAGCCCUUUGAGGGAGAUACUGUACUUCUCCCCACUAUACAGAUGAGGAAGCCAAGGUAAAAACAAAACAAAACAAACAAAGAGUAACUGCCAGGGUUAAAAGCUAGCAAGUAAGGAGCCAGGAUUUGAACCAAAAUGGGCAGGCUUCAAGGAAUGUUCCUUUAAGUACUGGUUUAUGCUACUCCAUGGGAAUCCAAAUGGAAUGGAAGCAGAUUAAGGAUUUUCCCUUUCUCCCUCCUUCCGUCUAACUUUCUCCCCACUUCCUUCUCUCUCUCCUUCUCUCCCUCCACCCUCCUCUUUCCACUCUUCUCUUUACACCUCCCUCUGACUCUCUUAGUAUUUCUCUUCCCCCUCUUGUGUAUAUACUCUGUUCUCCUUUGCCUACUAACUAGUUUAUUCUUUCUGUAUGCUCUGUGUUGCCUUUUUGUACCCAACAGCUUCUACUUAAUCCUAACUCCUACUCCCUUGUACCUACAGCCUGGACAUGGCCCACUUUGGCUACUCCAAACUCACACUGGUCACUACCUCACUGGGAUUUCUUAAGAAUCCCAGCGCACAAAGUCCAAUUGGCUCUGUCCAUGAGCUGCCCCCCAAUCCAAAUGGCUAUGGCUACCUACUGAGUCAUAGGGAAUGAAAUAUGGCGGCCCACUCAGGGCAGCCACCAAGAAUGAUGCCUAGUAAGCAAAGCAUCACCUUCAUUUUUGACAGAAAAACUGUCUACUGAUCACGUCUGUCACAGAUAAGCCUGCCAGCCAAGUCCCCACUGCUCCCUGGCCCAUGCCCGAGCAUACGAUGCCCCUGGUAUAAUAAUGCUCACGCAUGCUGUGCGUCUCUGUGCGAUGUGGGUAGCUGACUGCAAGUGAAUAAAUGAGAAUCUUGUCUGGCUCCUUCGAGAGAAGACAAAUGGGCUGGAGUUGCGAGGCAUAUUGGAGAGAAGGGGAACCCAGGCAUCGGGAGGAGGCAUAAGACAGAGAACCGCAUCGUUCCGUGAAACUCAACAGAGAUCUGCCCCUUCGACAAAGCAAGGUCUCCAUCUGUCUUGGGAGUAAAAGCUGGACACUGGAAAAGAGAAGCUGCCUUGGUAAAAAGUCAAAGGGAACUCAGCCUAGGCCAGGGGUAAGCUCGUAUUUGAACUAGAAAGAGAAAUUCGAUUCUUCUGGGAGAAAGGGAAAAGAUGCUGAGCUACAAGGAGGCUGGGCUCACACAGCCAGAUUAAGACAUCUUGCCUAGAGCACAUGGCGUCUCUGUAUCAGACUUCUGUAGUCCCCAAACAGUGAAUCAGUCUCUGCAAGAGACACCUGCACUCUCAGGCCUGGAUACAGAAAGGUAUGCAGAAAGCAAGUCUGCUAGCAAUUUCUUUUUUUUAAAGGUGACUCUAUUCCAGAUAAAGUAUUCAAAUGAUA